GAUGAACGCUGGCGGCGUGCCUAAUACAUGCAAGUCGAGCGAACAGACGAGGAGCUUGCUCCUCUGACGUUAGCGGCGGACGGGUGAGUAACACGUGGAUAACCUACCUAUAAGACUGGGAUAACUUCGGGAAACCGGAGCUAAUACCGGAUAAUAUAUUGAACCGCAUGGUUCAAUAGUGAAAGACGGUUUUGCUGUCACUUAUAGAUGGAUCCGCGCCGCAUUAGCUAGUUGGUAAGGUAACGGCUUACCAAGGCAACGAUGCGUAGCCGACCUGAGAGGGUGAUCAGCCACACUGGAACUGAGACACGGUCCAGACUCCUACGGGAGGCAGCAGUAGGGAAUCUUCCGCAAUGGGCGAAAGCCUGAUAGAGCAACGCCGCGUGAGUGAUGAAGGUCUUCGGAUCGUAAAGCUCUGUUAUUAGGGAAGAACAAAUGUGUAAGUAACUAUGCACGUCUUGACGGUACCUACACAGAAAGCCACGGCUAACUACGUG
rnacentral:rRNA from 1 species